CUGGGCGAGGUGAAGGUAAUAACCGGAUCCGUGCUCGGUCCCGUGCCUUGGCCUCCCGCGGAUCUGCCUCGCUGCGAGGCUUCCGUGACGGCUUGCCGUCGCGGUCGUCCUCUUCGGCCGCUAUUUAACGGUCAGCUCAGAACUGGCACGGACUGGGGGAAUCCGACUGUCUAAUUAAAACAAAGCAUUGCGAUGGCCCUAGCGGGUGUUGACGCAAUGUGAUUUCUGCCCAGUGCUCUGAAUGUCAACGUGAAGAAAUUCAAGCAAGCGCGGGUAAACGGCGGGAGUAACUAUGACUCUCAUAAAAACUGGUAUGACCAAAGACAGGUGGUCGUGAUGAACGUGCGUAGUGCGCAGUGGAACGCCGAAGAAUCGAGCCUUCUUGCUAGGCAGGAGGCCCGGCUCACACUAGAGGGCGUUCGAUACAUCAAUCAAGCGCUUGCGCCAUAUUUUCCGAACAGAACCCUUGAGGCCAUAAAGGGACAGAGACGGUAUCAAGCGCACAAAGACAGGGUGCGUCAGUAUAUGGAUGGUCUGGCGGGGGAGCUGCAGGCCCCACUUCAGCCAGACGUCAUACAAGAGCCGAACGGGGAGCAUCGGCCGCAAUCAAUUGAUACCUUAAGAGCUGCAAUUGUGGAGGAGCUAUCCAAACAGAAUCCGUUGAUCGGGCCUGAGUUCCGAAAGGAAAAACUAAGUCAGAUAUGUGAGAAUAUCUCGUUGUGGUCACUGGAGAUGAUUUCUGAACAGCUCGAAAUUUACCUAUUGGAGGUGUUUCCGCUACCUCAAGUACGGAGAAGACCGAACCCAGCGGUCAGGGCUGAUGUUCAGCAGACGAAGAGGCAAGCCCGUAGGGCUGAAUAUGCGAUAACGCAAAGAGCAUGGAGAAAGAACCCGUGCAACUGCCUCAGAGUUCUUUUGAAAGAUAAGACUGCCUCUCAAACACCGAGAGAGGAGGUCAUGGUUCCGUUUUGGCGGACCAUUAUGACGCAAGCGAAUGUUCAGUCGCCUGGGGUUGGCUCCGUGCCAAACGAUAGGAGGAAUGACUUGUGGAAGCCGAUAAGGUCUGAGGAGAUUAAGAGGGCAUUUCCUGAGAUGACUACGUCACCUGGACCCGAUGGGGUGACCGCACGGCAGCUGAGGGCUGUACCGAUGAAUGUGUUGGUCGGAGUAUUCAACCUACUCCUUCUCUGUGGGAAGCUGCCCAAACACCUGGCGGAGUCAAGAACAACUCUGAUUCCUAAGAAAAAUGGGGCCUCUGAGCCAGGAGACUUUAGACCAAUAACAGUGUCCUCAGUGAUUACUCGAACAUAUCACAAGAUCUUGGCAAAUCGGCUGGCCGUGUACAUAGAUCUCGACGGUCGGCAGAAGGCGUUCCUUCCUGUUGAUGGGACAGCGCAGAACAUAUUUGACCUAGAUAUGAUACUUCGGUACCAUAGGCAAAACUUCAAGCCCUUAUAUGUGGCUUCAUUAGACGUGGCCAAAGCCUUUGAUUCGGUAACGCAUAACACCGUAAGGGAUACUCUGCUUACGAAGGGAGUCCCAACACACUUAGUCGAGUACGUCAUGGAUGUUUACUCGAGGAGCACGACGAGACUGGUAUGCGAUGGGUGGACUUCUGAUCCGAUAUCUCCAACAUGCGGAGUAAAGCAGGGAGACCCUCUGUCGCCCAUUAUCUUUAAUAUGGUAAUGGAUGGCCUCUUAAGGCUCAUUCCACCAGAAGUAGGGGUGGAUGUGGAUGGGGACCACUAUAACGCAUUGGCGUUUGCUGAUGAUCUGGUUUUUACCGCGUCAACUCCUCAUGGCCUGCAGUUAAUUCUCGACUUAGCCACGGAUUAUCUGGCUAAGUGUGGUUUGGCAAUUAACACUGGAAAGUCUUUUACAGUUGCCUUGAGGAGUGUGCCGCAUGUUAAGAAGUCUGUAGUGGAUGGUACAGCUAGAUUUACGUGUUCUGGGCGGAUGAUGCCAGCACUGAAAAGGGAGGACGAGUGGAGGUAUCUGGGCGUUCCCUUUACACCAGAGGGGCGCUCGAAGGGCGAGGAGAACGAGCAACUGAGGUUGGCCUUGCACUCGCUUACAAAGGCACCAUUGAAGCCCCAGCAGAGGCUAUUUGCACUAAGGGUGGCAGUCCUACCUGGGCUGUAUCACCUUCUGACGUUGGGCAAUACGACUUUGAGUCGGCUUAAGAAGAUCGAUGCAAUGGUGCGCUCGUCGGUAAGAAAGUGGCUGGAUUUACCGCAUGAUACACCCAACGCUUACUUUCACGCGAGUGUAAAGGAUGGAGGCCUGUCAGUGCCCUCCAUGAGGUGGCUAAUGCCGCUUCAUAGAUGGAGGCGCCUACAGGGGGGCAGGCCAGAGGGGCAACAUCUAUCCCCGUACCUAGCUCAGGAGGUGGGGCGUGCCAAAAGAAGGCUACGCGAAGGAAGAGUGGAAAUAUCUACCACAGAAGAGCUGAAAGUAAGAUGGGCGGAGCUCCUGCAUAAUUCAGUGGAUGAAAGAGCUC
rnacentral:rRNA from 1 species